rnacentral:rRNA from 1 species
AAAACUUUCAACAACGGAUCUCUUGGUUCUGGCAUCGAUGAAGAACGCACCAAGUUGCGAUAAGUAAUGUAAAUUGCAAAAUUCAUUGAAUCAUCAAAUCUUUUAACGCUCAUUGCGCCCCUUGGUAUUCCGGGGAGCAUGCCUGUUCGAGCGUCAUUU